GAUGAACGCUGGCGGCGUGCCUAAUACAUGCAAGUCGAACGAGGUCUUCGGACCUAGUGGCGAACGGGGGAGUAACACGUUUGUACCUACCCCGAAGUGGGGAAUAACUGCCCGAAAGGGUGGCUAAUACCGCAUAAUACCGCAAGGUUAAAGCAGUAAUGGCUUCGGGAGGGGCCUGCGUCCCAUUAGCUAGUUGGUAGGGUAAUGGCCUACCAAGGCGACGAUGGGUAGCUGGAUCGAGAGGUUGACCAGCCACACUGGGACUGAGAUACGGCCCAGACUCCUACGGGAGGAAGCAGUAAGGAAUCUUCCACAAUGGACGAAAGUCUGAUGGAGCAACGCCGCGUGCAGGAUGACGGCCUUCGGGUUGUAAACUGCUUUUAUACGGGAAGAUUAUGACGGUACCGUAUGAAUAAGGACCGGCUAACUACGUGCCAGCCGCCGCCGUAA
rnacentral:rRNA from 1 species